CCCAUCUUUCCUUCCCAAGGUUUUCCAUUGUUAGCAGAGUAAUUGCUGACCCAAAUAAGUGUAUUGUUCUCUGAGGCAAUGUGAAUAAUUUUAUUCUGAACUGAUAAGGCUCCUCCCUGACUUUUCCUCACUUGGAUCCAUUACCAGAAAGAUUGUCCCCAUCUGACUUGGCAGUUCUUACUGGAAUAACCUCAGAUGUUCUCUGUACUCCAAGCAAUUUGACCCCUUUCCUUGUCUUCAGCAGCUCAUUAACUCAAGAAGCACCAAAAAAACAAAAAUCUUACUGGAGAAGGAAGAUCCCAACAAUUCUCCAAGGGCUUAUCAUUCUUCCACCUCAUCAGUAGAUGCAGUACUGAGAUAAGCGUGGUAUCAAGACGGUUCAUCUCAAGCAGGGGAACAACUCGUAGACCUUGGCAACAACCCUCACAACUGUGGUUUCAGGCAACACUGUAUUUUAAAGAUAAGUAAAUGGGGCCCUCUCUCUUACUUUAAAUUUUGAUGAUGCUACAUUAGGAUUUUGGUUCGGAGCAUCUGUGCAGCUCUGAAGCAAUCCCCCAAUCAUUCCUUUCACUGCAGAGGUUACUCCGUUCACAGAGUGGCUUAGUGAGCAAGAUUCCUUUGGUGGGAGACAAAACCAAAACCUCUGCUCUAGAACAACCCUCAGGGACAUGGGGGUCCCAAACCAUAUCCUUUGGAUAUUGUUUCAAGCUACAUGCCUGGUGGGGGCAUUCUGUUCAAGAGACCAAGCUACUUCUUAAUUUAAAUAUACAACCCAGAACCACAUAAAGUGUGGACAUGAGGACCUCUGCAGGAAACCACUGCAGAUACUCAUCAAGUUAUUUUGUGUUAAGCUGUUUGUAGUUGUAUAGACAGCCUUGUAGAAGCUCAAUUAUGAAUUUUGUCGCUUUACAGUUAGUUACAGAUGCUAUCAUGAGCAAGACUUGAGAUCUGACUCUCUCCAUAACACUUUCUAUCAUUACAGCUUUUCCUUUUGUUCUGACUCCUGUGAAUCCAGUUCUGAGGUGCCUACAGGUCCAAAGCAUCAGUUAAGAGAAAACAUUUGGGCAGGCCAGGAGCCUAACCUCCCUGAAGCAGCAAAAUCACCUGCUUUAAAUAUUAAACAUAUACUUAUGCUAUUUAUUGCAUAAUGUAUUUAGAGCAUACAUAUUAUUUAAUAUGCUAUUUACAAUUAACACCUUGAUUAGAUGCUAUAAGGCAAUGUGAUUUUUUUCUGUUGAUCUGGCACAACAUCCACGCUACUAUCUUAGUCUUCAUACUUGGAUGUAAUAGUGGUGACUUGUGUGCAUGUAUCCGUAACACAGUUACUGAUAAUUAUCUGGUUACUUUCCUGAGCACUAAUUGUUUAAGUCCCAGCAUCAGCAUUAGAAAAGUCUAGCUGAUGGGAAAAGAAUGGGCCUGGGACAGUGCGAUGAAAAAGGAAAUGUAAAAACAAAUUUUCCUGGUGAGGAUUAGCCUAGGGCUUAGGUAGCAUUAUUUGAAUUGGCUUCUUCCUUUAACAAAUAAGCCUCAAAGAGAAUGCUAUUUGGCUCUAUAACGAACACUCAGUUGGCUUCAAACCACAAGAGGUACUACCAAAUCCCAGUCUAUUUGCACUGUUUUCUGGUGGCACACACAUGUUUUUGUAUGCUGGUCAUAUAUCCCAUGCAUUCCCAUUGAAACAUCAUGACUUGUAUAACUUCUUUUUCUUUUUAACCUGACCUAGCUUGCUUUUAAAUCCAGCUGUGUCUUUUCACCUGAGGUGAGGCUUUUCAGUUAAGCAACAUUAUGUAAACACGGAUUGUAACAUUCCCAAACCCACAGUUAGUCAACAAAAGAUCAAACGAAUCAACAAGCUUUCACUGGAGCCAUCAAAGUCGCUCAGACUUCCUCAGCGAGAACUGCCAGCUUAUAUCUUAUUUUCCUCCAAAGGUAAAGAUAAGGCUAUUUGUCUUUCUUUCACAGUUACAAAUAAAUAAAGAAAAAAGAGACAGUAGUUUAAAAUGAUAUCUUAAUCAAAUCUGUUCACUAAGGAGUUUAUGUUUCAAGCCUUUACCUGCAUUCCAGACUGAAGUCAAAAUGUCAAACUUUCCUCCUUUAUCUUCUGUCCUUGACUCAAGGGAAGAUCCAUAUCUCACAAAAUGAAACAAAUGUUUUCCUUAAAAUGUUUCAGUAGGCCUCAAUUUUUGUAAAACAAGCCACUUCUCCAGCAGGUGCUUUGGUUUUAGGCAAUUAAAGUAAUUGUCACAAGUGCUACAGCUGCUGAAUAAGAGGAGAAAGAGCAACUGGGCUGGGGAGGGGAGAGAGAAUGUGUACAGUAUGCCUGAGUGAGAGUGAAGGUAGACGGGGAGGAGUUUUUUAAAAGUCAGUAAAUGCUUAUUUAAUGUGUCUUCUUAAUAUUUAAUCUAUUUUUAUUCUAAGUGUAUACCAAUAUCUCAUCCAUGUUCUGCUGUUUCCUAAAUCACCUCUGCUAACUGGAGCAGUUCUGGUUGUUCAGAGAACAAAUGGCACAGUACAAACUGUGGAAAGCACAGUUACAAAGGAAAGUAUGCAGAAAUAUGGUUUGUUUGGUCUUUUACACAAAAGACUAAAAUGAAGCAGUGUAGACUUAGAAAGUAGCUGCCAAGGAGAGAAGGAGAAACAGCUUUUCAUGUCCAUUGAUGAUAGGACUAAAAGAAGUUGCCUUCAAUGGCACUGAGAGAACUUCAGGUUGGCUAUCAGGGGAGAUUCUUCUAAGAUGAUUAAUUUCGUGCUAAAAUAAUCUUGUCCAAGCGUUUGUGAGAUGUGCUUCACAGGAGUGUUUCUUAAACAGCUGAGGCAGAGUGUCCUCAAGCUGUGUCCUUCAAGUGUCCAAAGAACAACUGAUUCUGACUUAGACGAAUGAGCUGUAUGAUGAAGAACAUUGAGAUCUCAUCCAGCGUUAUCUCCCAAGAUCUCCUUUUAUGUCUCAAAAAAAGCCUUGGAUUAAGGCAGGAUUUAUGGACCCAGAAUUGAUUCCAAGUUCGGCAUAGUUCAUUCCUUAAUCAAAAUUUUUGGUGUGCACUGCUUUCUUCCUUCUCGUUUAUCCUUUAAGCUCAUGCAGUGUAGAGUGGAAACUGAAAUCCAAGCAAGGUACCAGAACUUGGAGAACCUUUGGCCAGCAUAACCCUCACUUAUAGAUCUUCCCUUCUUAUUAAUCUCAUAUUCUUGAAGAGAUUUUUCACCUGCUAUGGUCUAAUCCCACCUAUGCUUAACCUGAUUCCUUUUUCCUUUCACCUUUUGUCUUUUCAAGUUACACCUCCUCCUUACCACAGAAAAUGGGUAUCUCAGUGUUUGUGUACAACAGCUUACCUGUUUGGGAUGUUAUGGUUGGAAAUAAUAUCAUGGACAGAGACCGUCAAGCAGAUGUUUGUUUGUGAUCUAACAGAGAAUGAUUUGCUGCAUUGUAAGAAGUCACAGGGUCACCAGGCAUCUGCAUUUUCCAACAUACUUCUGGUUAUUCCACUCAGAAGUUUUCUCUGCAUGGACCCUGAGGACUUCAGUGUGUUCCUCCAGUAUUUCUAACCAUCUCGUGGCUUGAGCAGGGAUGGAGGCCCAGUCAGAACAGUUGCUCCAGAGAACAAAGCCAAAGCUUGGGGAGAAGGGGAGGUGAUCUGCAUACAAAGUCACUGUUUCUUUCCCUGUAAUUCUGAGUGCAACUAGCAAAAGAGGAUGCCAUGCACAAAGAAAUACGUUUCCAAUGCUAAAGUGCAGCCAGGAAGAGGUUAAAAAAAUAUUUUGGUGCAUGUAAAAACAUCUGUAAAAAUAGUUCGCUACUGUAAAUCAUUUUUCUUUCUCCUUCUGUUUUACACCUCUGAGGAUAUUUCUGACUGGAUAUUUUUUGGGAGCUGUCCUUUAUAUUACUUGCUUCCAUACAAAGAACUUCAUCAGUGCUAAACCUGGGCCAAUGCUGUGUUUCUGGAGGUGGAGGUGCUCAGACAUCACACAACAAGGCCUAGUCCUUGCCCCAUGGACAGCAAUUGUGGCAUAUGGGUGUAAACCCACUGACAUCUUUGAAAUUUGAUCUGCGAUUAUUUUAUAUUAUUUUAUAUUUCUACCUUUCGAUUCCAAAACAGGUUCCCAUUCUAUACUCCUCAGUGUUUCUCAUAGCAGGAAUCUGCAGAUCGCUCCUCUGGAGUUGCAUUUUUCUCAACUAGCCUGAAGGAAAUAUUUUUGCAACGCUCCAUUUUUUGUAAGAUAAAUGGUAGUUUGGUGGUUAGACUAGAUGACCUUAGUGGUCUUUCCAACCCUAAUUAUUCUAUGAUUCUAUUAUUCUAUAAUUCUAUGAUUCUACGAUUAUGGUAUGGUAUGUAAUGCUUGCUACCAGCAUAUUCCAAUUCCAUCUGCUAGGCUAAAAGGAAUUAAUAUUAGGUCACUGAAGAUAUUUGGAUGUCCCUGCUAACUCCUUUACGUAAUCAUACAUUGCAAAGCUUCCUGCUGUUCUUCUGAGCAGUCUUGUCCUGCCCACUUGACUGAUAUCAAGCAAAUAUUUCAGCAGGAAAGUUAAAUCCAGCUUUUCUGUGUACUUUCAAGCAAAUGACUGUCUGCUUUAUAACUGCACCAAAACUAUCAGCUUUUUAUUUUUUUAAACAACGGCAUGUCUAGAUGAGUGUCAUGCACUUGGUUUUGUACUGUAGAUUUUCUAUCUCUUCCUUCCUCAUAAAAUCUUAUAGACCAAAAGCCCCCACCAUUUAGAAUCACUGCUAUCUCUGCUUUGUCUUUUAGAUGCUCUUUCCACAACCCCCACUUCAGAACUAUCUCCCACCACUGCCACUCUGCCAUCCCACCCCUCGCUGAGCUGCAGACCUUGUGUGAGCCAUGCAUGCUGCCCCCAGAGCUGGCCCUGCCCUUUGUCCUUAUCUCAAUAGCAAGGCUCAGCAAAUUGUUUCUCAUGUCAUCCUGUACAGGCUGCCAGCGCCUCCCAUCAUCACUGGCCUCCUGUUUCAACAGAACUGAAAUAAAGGAGUUCUGGUUAUUCCACUGAUAAAAAUCUUUAUUUCUUGAGUAACAGUAAGAAAACCUCCAGGUACAGUCAAACACUUCCAGGAGAGUGAAAAGAAACUUUGUUUGAAUGACUUGAGUGACAGAUCCUCUUUCUUCAUCAGGCAGAUAAAGCAAAAUGCUCCACCGGUGCCGUCUGGAAGCAGCUAACUGCCUGUUGCCAGGCCACCCGCUGCCUUCAUCUCACAUCCCCAUCACUUCUCUGGGUGCACCCACACACAAAAUGCGCUUGGAGCAGUGCAGAGAUCUCCAGCUGCUGAUCAGGGGUGGAUUCCUGGGCUUCAAACUACGGUUUUGGCUGAGCAUCAUCAAGUUUUCAGAAUUACAAGCCGCUGCAGUAUUUCCCUGGAGAAUCAAACUCACUCACUCAAGCUGAAAUAAUUAAGCCUCCUCAUUUUACCCGCCCUUCCUGAGGAGCACUGGGAGGAAGAGACUCACAUGAAGGUACUAACUCCUCUGUCUCCUUCAGAUGAUAUGCAUCCAUCUCCAUUUUCACUUCUUCACGAUGACUUCUCCAGCCUCAUACUGCUGGCACAGGCAUUUUCAAUAACUCGGUGACUAAUAAGGUGAAGGAAUUCUCUACAUUUUCUUCCUGGAGAUUUAGUCUUCUAGGACUAAAUCCAUUCUCCUGGUUGUGCCCAUCUCAGACUUGGGAGUGGUCUAAGGAGGUCUCUUCAUCUGAGCAUUGCUGGCCAGGUAGCCUCAUGGUUGGUAGGACUCUAGUAAUCCCUAUAGGUUCUUGGGACUCUGGAAUAGCUAAAUGAGCACGCACCUUUUUUAUUCUUGUAUUUUUUUUACUACUUUGGCGCAUAGAAUGGUAUUUCAAUUCCAAAUAUAUACUUUUUAAAAUUAAUCCUUAGGAAAUAAACUCUCCUUUUCUGUGGAUGAAGAGGCUAUUUGUUUCAGUCACAAUCUCAUUUUAUUUCAGUUUUGGAACAGUUUUGUUUUAUAUUUAGUGUGUCUGACAUGUGUGCUAUUUGCAAUUCAUUUAUUAUCCUAUGAAAACUAUUGCUCCAGUUUAUAAUUAUUGUUUCCCUCCCAGUUGCUCACAGACACCCCUUUGUAGUAUGCAUGUAAUAGGUUUUGGCAAAACCUUGAAUUUUUUUCAAAAGUUCAUUCUGUUAUUCAGUCUUUUUCAAAGACACUCCAAUAUCUAAUGCCAGUUCAGCUGUAUGAGGUGAUGCUGAUUAAUAGUGAUAGGUGCAAUGUUCAUGCUAGUCAGUUAUUCAGCUCUUCCAUUUCUGCAUUUUUGGAGAGUGACAUGACCUUUCCAUCCUGUUGCCUUGCAAAAGGUCUAUUCUUCUCAAAACUCCUUCCUUUGGAUAGAAAAAUGGAAUAUUCCUACCCAUGAGCUCCUCAUCAGAUGCCGAUGCCAUUUCAUGGAAAUUCUGUGUUCUCAUUUAAAGUAGAAAAAGUGUAUUUCUCACGUACAAAUUUCUUGGUGAUAACAUCUACGUUUGGGUGCUGAUGUCGUUCUCAUAAUGUUCAGGAGUUCAGUGCUUUCUGCUUAUGUGCAACCAACACAGGAUCUGUGUGAGAAGUGAGUCUGGGGUUCUGACCUUCUGGUAUAUCCAUGUCUACAUUCUUUGCACACAGUUAUAAAACUUCCUCGUGAAGCAAAAGUUCAAAAAUUCCUUUACAAGUAAAUGUCUAACGAAGCAUAGAGAAGUCACCUAUUUGUAAUGUAUUGAGUAUGUCCCAAAAGAGCUGCAUGAUUUUAAAAAAUAAAUAGUUUAUUCAUUGAAAAAUGCUGUCUACUCAAACUUAUUUGGAUAUUUCAGCUAAAUUAACUAAAGAAAUGCAAUUGGCUAGUAUUUGGGGGACCAUUUUCAACACACAAGCAUUCUGAUGGGGCAAUUUGUUUCAUCCCAAAGGUAAAGUUUGCAUUUGCUCAGGUGAAUCUCAGUCUAAAACUGCUCUUUGACUUUCCAGGAAACAUAAGCAACCAGCUCAGCUAUGGAUAUUGGCAGUGCAGAUAUUUGUGGUUACAGGGCUAUGUCCCGGCUGAUCCAUCCAAUGGGGAAAUAACAUCCUUUUGUUAGAAGCCUAUACCAGUACAUAACAAGAUCCUGAGAGCUGACAAGUUUUGUUUAAAAAGUCACGGGAUGAGACAGAUUGGUACAGACAAGGUUAAAAGUGUUAUUCAAGGUCAUUUAGCAACUUAAUGGCAAGGCUGAAAGCAGAGCAAGGUCAGUGCCUCAUUUCUCCAAACCAAAUUACUUCCCCUAAUUAUGUGGAGUAGCCCACACUUUGAAGGAAUGAACACAAAGGGCACAGGAUGCGUGAAAGCUGCAGCGAGGUGAAUGACUUCAUGGUGCACUUUUGGACCAUUAUUAGUUUUUCUCUGGGGACACUUUGAAAGAAAUAACUAAUAUGGACUUGAGUGAGGUACAGAUGCAAACAGAGAUGCUGGUGGGACAUUUAGGUACAGGAACAGAGAAGAGAAACAUGAAUCUGAAAGAAACAAACUGUACAUAAAGAAAGAAUCAGAGUCAUUAAGGUUGGAAAAGUUUACUAAGAUCAUCUAGUCCAAUCAUCAGCUCAUCCUCACCAUGCCCACUAAACCACGUCCCUUGGUGCCACAUCUCCAUAGUUCUUGAACACGUCCAGUGACGGUGACUCUACCACCUCCCUGCGCAGCCUGUUCCAAGGCCUCACCACUCUUUCUGAGAAGAAAUUGUUCCUAAUAUCCAACCUGAACCUCCCCUGGUGCAAAUUAAGGCCAUUACCUCUUGUCCUAUCACUGCUACGAGGGAGAAGAGGCCGACCACGACCUUGCUUCAACUUCCUUUCAGGGCAUUGCAGAGUGAUAAGUUCUCCCUUGAGCCUACUCUUCUCCAGCCUGAUCAAUCCCAGUUCCCUCAGACUCUCCCCGUAAGACUUGUGCUGCAGACCCAGUAUUUCCUUCUUACAAUAUUUACAUAUGAUAAACAUUGCUAUAAUGCAGCAGCCCCUGCUUGGCCUCCUUAUGCACAAGCACAUGAGAUGAUAUGCUUGCCACAAGUCUUUCAACAUGCCAGACAAAUCGUUUUUCCAGAGAAAAGACAAAAAAAGAAAUUCGAUGGAGGCUGGGACUAGAGAGACAAGAGGAAGGAGUGGGAACAGGGAGUGAUAAAAUGGUGAACACAGACAGGCAUUGGCUGUGCAGAGAUUCGCAGGGCUUUUUUAGCAGUAAACAGUAGCCUUUGUUCACUUGGGACAAUAGUACAGGGCUGCCCUAUGCCUCUCACCCUAUAGCCACUAUCAUUGCUGUGUUUGGCCAUAAAUUCACUCCUUGGAGACAUUCAAAAGUUGCCUGGGCAUGGUUCUAAGCACUGUGCUAUGGGUGUCCCUGCUGGAGCAGGGGUUGGGCCAGAGGUCCCUUACCAAAUCAGCCAUGAUAUGGUUCUGUGAUAAAAGCAGCAGAAGAACCAGAUGGGGAACUCUAAUUACAGGAUGAGUUCAAACUAAACUGGUAAAGAUUUUUAUUUUAUUUUUAUUUUUAAAUCUCAAAAUAUUCCUUGAAAGCAUUUCUUCACCAGCAGGUGAAGGGAAAUAGCCUGGUUAUGGUUUAAUGGACUAGCCCCAGAGAGCUUUUCAUAAAACAGUUAUUAUAAAUGAGAAAUGUUGUAAGAAUAGCUAAAAUUGGAAUUUACGCAAAGUAUGGUGCCUUUUAUUUGCAUAUGGCCUCAAUGAUUAUGUGCAAGAUUUGGCCCUCCCCAUAAUAAGUGCCACAUUCUGGUUUGAGAAACAUGAUGCCUUUGUUUUGGCAGAAAAUAAAUCUCUUAAGGUAAUCAAAAAUUCAUGUAACAUAGUCUAAAAAUAUUCCUUCCAAAACUGUGUGCCAGACAGGACAGGAGAAAAUAUUUGCCUUUGACCAGGAUAUUGAUCUAUAAAAUGUUUCUUGUCUCCUGUCUCCUUUGCCCCCUUGGUUUUCUUCCAAAUUUUCCUCUUCUGGUGCUUUCCAUGGAGUAAAGGGUUCUGGGAAGGACCAUCUUGAAACACAACUUUGCCAGCUAUCUCCUGAUUUUCAUUUACACUGAGGCUCUGUACACAGUUCUGGCAAUUCAGAGAGGGAUAACUAUGAUUUUUAGCUCUCUAGACUCCCCUCAAACUUGUAUAAGGACCUUUGUAUGAACGAGGACUUAAUAUACACAUUGCUGCAAAGUUGCUUUGGAUGCCCUUUCCCUUGCACAGAAAUUAAUGGAAGUGAACCUGGAAAAAAUGUUUCACUUCCUAUGAAAGUCAAUUCACCUCGAAAGGAAUCCUCGUAAAACCAGUACCGCUGGAGGCAAGGAUUUCUCUGAAUAAAGUAAGUGUCUGGGUGCUCGGGAGGUGGAUUUCCUAUUCACUGCUGUACACUAGUGGCUUUAUAAUGGUAUGGUGACAUAAAGCACCUGUAUUAACUUCAAAAUACAAGGAUGGGAUCCUUGGAACAGCAGUGCAAAGUGCCUGAGCUAGACCAGUGUGUCUGGCACUUGCUAUACUGGUUGAGGAAGCUCAUUUAGCACUCCUUACGUUGGCCACCACUCACCUCUUACAUCUUUUCAAGAUCAGGUGAGGAGAAAUUUUACCCCUCCAAGACAAAGAUUUUGUCUAAUGCCUACUUUUCUUCAAUGGCCAACAGUGUAAAAUAAUUACGGAAGCCUCUGGGUGAACGUAUAGUUACAAGACAAAGGGUCUGGAGUCAAGAUAGAUUGUUUUACAUUUAGCAGAAAUAGCAAAUUUCUGAGGGAUGGCAUUUCCAAACAACAAAUAUCCCAUCUGUCUCUUUUACCUGGCACCUGUCACACCAGAAUAGUGAUGGAUUCAAGUUUUUAUACAGCUGACUGCUGUUCCUGUGUCUCAUUUUUCCACUAAAGGGUCUGUUUCCCCAUUAGCAACUGUUUUUAAUUCAGACAGAAUAUGGUGCUUUGAUUCUGUGUUUGGCUUGGUUAUGCCUGGUCAAAGGGAGGUGGAGACACAUCUCAUCCUUCAUGUGACUGUCCUAACAGCUCUCAAAGGCUGCUGAUGGGCAGCUGUCCUUUAUACUCCCACACUGUACUUCAGGCAGACCAUUACAGAGAUAAAUAAAUAUAGCCUCCUAUUAAGCAUAAACAGACAUGUCUUUUGAGGGACACAGUCAGAUAGGAAAGAGAUUAAAUAUUGAAUUUACUUGCAGAGACAUAUGUUCUCUGUCAGAAAGGAGGAACAACACAGAGGUUUACUCUCAACUCAAUCAUUUCAAAGUGCAGUCAAUAAAAUCAGUGUAUAAUAGCUACCGGUAACCACAACCAUGCAUCAAAUGAACCAUCAUGGUUUUGAGGAAAAAGAGUGUAAGGAAGCCUUACAGUCAUUGGACCAAUCUUUUUCCUGGAAUUCUAUACUUCUAAAAUAGCUUAACAAAGCACUACCAAGAUCAAGGAAUAUUUGCUGUCAAAGACCAAAGAAAGCACUGGGUUUGUAAAUGGAGAGGCCUUCAGAGGCCAGAAGGAUCACUGAAAAUGGCCUUUCAGCUUCUCUUUCUCUCCUUUCUGGUCUAUAUUUUAGUUGCAGUCAUUUGUAGCUAUUUGAAGAUACAAAUCCUUCUUUUGAAUGCAUUCUUCUAAAUCAAUUCAAAUUUCACAUAGAUUAAGCUUGACAUCUGUUCAAGAUCCAUUACAUAAUCUGGCAUUCAGAAAUCUCAACAUACAUGCACGUAUCUUUGUACAUACAUGUAAGUACAUGGAGAGUAGCCAGCUAUUACAUUGGCAGUCAACAUCCCUGGAGGUGUUCAAGAAAUGUGAGAUGUGGCACUGAAGGACACGGUAUAGUGGGUGUGGUAGGGACAAGUUGAUCGUUGGACUAGAGGAUAUUAGUGGUCUUUUCCAGCCUUAAUAAUGCUAUGAUUCUAUGAUCUCUCACUUGAAAUCUGGAAGCAGUCUAAGCUGGUAACCACACAUCAGCCUAAUUCUUAACAUGGGCAUUCAGUGAGCUGUUGGGCACUGGGACAGCACUAGCUGCCAAACAGCUUUGAAAUGUAGAACCAAAACCCUGUUGAUCACACCUAGACCUGAAAUCACUGGAUCAUCCAAGGGGAAAUAUUGGAAAUUCUUCAUGUGAUGAAAAUGAGACACCAUCAUGCCUGCUGAUGAAAUUUGGUUAUGAAAAAAAGAGCUGGGAGUUCAUAAAUAAUGAACUGUUACGGUAUUAUACAUUGUCAUAUAAAAUGUGUUUCCUUCUUGGGAAGAGGCUCUGAAUGCCAUAACCUUGUGCAGCACACAACUAGUAAGCCAAUUAAAUUGUUCUGAGAGAGUGAAAGGAAGUAAUAUCCCUCCUGAGAAGAGCCUGAGAUCUUUCCUCAAGACACCAUAACUGUUCCUUAAACUCCAUGUCAGAUCAAGUAACUUGCAAUUUCCAUUGCAAAAGCAGGAAGGAAUUGGAUGAAAGAAUCACUUACUGCACAGAAACAAGAACUUUUACACAGCUUGGUUGAGUUCCUUCUUUCUCUAACUUCUUCUGCCAGAUCCUCUUAAAGAGAGCAAAAUUAAUGAUCUCAUACCACUACCUUUAAUGACAGUUUAUUACACUAAUUGGGAAUCUUGCUUUCAGUUUAAAACUGGAGAUGUUUCUGCUAUUCAUUAUUUUGUAUUUGUUAUAAAAACACAGUGCUGUGGGAAUGAGUCAUUUCAGUAACAACCUACCUUUCAACUACACUGCUGGUCCCUUUCUUAGACUAAUUAGAAUCACUUUAACUAUAUUUUAAAAUAUAUGAAUGUUUCUCAAAUUAUGCAUAAGUUCCCUCAUUCUGAGCCACUCUCAACUUCAUGCUAAAUAUUAGUCAGAAGGAAGAUGUUUCAAACAGCACAAUGGGACAGAACAUAAUGGAGACUCAUCUUCAUGUUUCCAGGACCAAAACCAAUGAAUCAGUGGAAUAGGUUCUCAUUAGAUGUUGUGUUAGUUUCUACUUUUAUUGCUGAGGCAAUGGUUUUCUGUAAAUUUGAAGAAACAACAGUGUUCAAAACUCUUAUUUGGGAGAUUUGCUGAUUUAUAGUAAUUUAUUAUUUGUAAUUGUAAAAUCAUUUUUCCCUUGGAGAUACUGAUAUCUUGUACUUACAUGCUCAGAAGGGCAUGCUGUUUCAUGAUCUGUCUUUGGAAAUUUCCCAUAAAUGUAAAGUAAACUAAUCCACUGAAGUGAAUGCAGUACAAGCACAACUACAUCAACGUGUUUCUUACAUAUUUUGGCAAAUUACUAGGGUCUGGUUAUCAAAUUUAUGAUGUUCUGCUCCUGUAAUAAAUAAUCUGUGAAUCUAUUAAA